AAUGGCGGUUAACANAGGGAAGCAAAGUCGCGAGGCAGAGCAAAACCCGAAAAAGCCGUCUCAGUUCGGAUUGCAGGCUGAAACCCGCCUGCAUGAAGUUGGAAUUGCUAGUAAUCGUGGAUCAGCAUGCCACGGUGAAUACGUUCCCGGGCCUUGUACACACCGCCCGUCACACCACGAGAGUCGGGAACACCCGAAGUCCGUAGUCUAACCGUAAGGAGGGCGCGGCCGAAGGUGGGUCUGGUAAUUGGGGUGAAGUCGUAACAAGGUACC
rnacentral:rRNA from 1 species